rnacentral:rRNA from 1 species
AACGAACGCUGGCGGCAGGCCUAACACAUGCAAGUCGAACGCACCGCAAGGUGAGUGGCGCACGGGUGAGUAACACGUGGGAAUGUACCCUUUGGUUCGGAAUAACGUCUGGAAACGGACGCUAAUACCGGAUGAGCCCUGCGGGGGAAAGAUUUAUCGCCAAAGGAGCAGCCCGCGUCUGAUUAGCUAGUUGGUGGGGUAAAGGCCUACCAAGGCGACGAUCAGUAGCUGGUCUGAGAGGAUGAUCAGCCACACUGGGACUGAGACACGGCCCAGACUCCUACGGGAGGCAGCAGUGGGGAAUAUUGGACAAUGGGCGGAAGCCUGAUCCAGCCAUGCCGCGUGAGUGAUGAAGGCCUUCGGGUUGUAAGGCUCUUUCGCACGCGACGAUGAUGACGGUAGCGUGAGAAGAAGCCCCGGCUAACUUCGUGCCAGCCGCCGCAGUAAUAC